UACAGAGGGUGCAAGCGUUGUUCGGAAUUAUUGGGCGUGAAGGGUGCGUAGGCGGUGCGGUAAGUCUCUUGUGAAAUCUCCGGGCUCAACUCGGAGCCUGCAAGGGAAACUGCCGUGCUUGAGUAUGGGAGAGGUGAGUGGAAUUCCUGGUGUAGCGGUGAAAUGCGUAGAUAUCAGGAGGAACACCUGUGGCGAAAGCGGCGCACUGGACCACAACUGACGCUGAGGCGCGAAAGCUAGGGGAGCAAACAGG
rnacentral:rRNA from 1 species